UUUUACUAUAAGAUUUUAGCCAAGCAGGCACGGAAUUUUCUAGAACUACUUUCCCUGUAUAAUUAGGAUUUGGCACAAAGAGCUUUAAGUGAGAUUUGGAAGGUACAAGAGGAACAGCAGUCAUUACAGAAGAUUAGUACAAGCCUCCAUGCAUGGCCAACCCUUGGCACAUUUGCUGCUGAUUCACGGGCUUCUCUCACUGGUGUGCAUAGACCCACAGCUCCUCUGCCUGCUGUCAGAUCGCUUCCUUCAGCUUUUCCAAGUCCUGAGUCAGACACGUGUGCAACUCUGGGGUGAAAGACACCAGCUUCUUCUGCAGAUUACCUGUAUCAUUUGGGUUUGAAGCAUAUUCUGAUGUGUCUUUGUGAAUACCAGUUUAUUCUCAAGGAUUUUAGGUUGUCUUUUCUUUUCUUUUUUUUUUUUUUCUAUUUCGUUUAGAGCUUUUCUUCCUGAUGGCUUAUCUACCGAUCAAAGCAACUUCUACCUCACCAGCAGAUACAGAGGCAACUUCUUCCAUAGAUUUCUUCACCAGUUUUCCUUAGCUGUCUCCUUGGAAAGCAGAUACCAUGUCAUGGAAAUGCCAUAGGAAAAAAUGUGAGGUCUCCAGUCAACCGACCACAUGGAAUUGAAACCUGUCAACAAACAAGUAGUGAGUUUGGAAGCAGAUCCUCCAACCCCAUUUGAGCCUCAUGAGAGACCCUGAGACUAAAACACAAGCUAAGCCACUUCUGGAUUCCUGACAAACAGAAACUAAGAGGUAAUAACUGUGUAUUGCUUCAAGCUGCUACUUUUUAGAGUAAUUUCUUAUGCAGCAGUAGGUAACUAACACAGAUCUCAAACCAUAUUAUCAGAGUCUGCAUCUCUCUGUUCUUGGCUGUGAUAACAUCAAGUUGUAUCAAAUGCAAAUAAAUAGAAAUGAAUUCUGG
rnacentral:lncRNA from 1 species